CCUACGGGUGGCAGCAGUGGGGAAUCUUGCGCAAUGGGCGAAAGCCUGACGCAGCGACGCCGCGUGAGCGAUGAAGGCCUUCGGGUUGUAAAGCUCUGUUGGGAGAGAAGAAUAAGGGUUGGCUAACAUCCAACCUGAUGACGGUAUCUCCUUAGCAAGCACCGGCUCACUCUGUGCCAGCAGCCGCGGUCAGACAGAGGGGGCAAACGUUGUUCGGAAUCACUUGGCGUAGAGCGCGCGUGUCCGGCUUGAAAUCCCACGGCUCAACCAUGGAAGUGCAUUCGAAACUGCCAGACUAGAGUCCUGGAGAGGAAGGCGGAAUACUCGGUGUAGAGGUGAAAUUCGUAGAUAUCGAGUGGAACACCGGUGGCGAAGGCGGCCUUCUGGACAGUGACUGACGCUGAAACGCGAAAGCGUGGGGAGCAAACAGGAUUAGAUACCCCAGUAGUC
rnacentral:rRNA from 1 species